rnacentral:lncRNA from 1 species
AAGGGUUUGGGUUUAACUUUCACAUAGCUCCCCCUAUCAACAAGGAAGAAAAGUUAUUGGUGAUAGAAAGAAUAAACGUUUUACAAAUGAAAUGAAAUGGAAAACCCCUAUCCAAAGGACCAACUACAAGAGCAAUGGUCAAACACAAACAUGAAGAUUUAGUUUCAACUAAGCUGAGUGUGUCCAAUUUUUUUUUUCUCAUGGGCCAAAAUCAAUGUAAAUAAGUAGAAUAUAUUUAUUUUAGGUUAAGUAGUAUAGGAUAUUUGGACUUUGUUUUGGAUCUUAUAAAUCACCUUGGGCCUUGUAAUGUAUUUUUGGGCUAGGGAAAUAUGGCUUAGAGCAUUACUCCCUCCACCACCACACACGGCUUCCUACAACUCCCUAAUUUUUUUUAAUUCCAAAGAUACCCUUAUUUACUUUUACCCUUUGUCUUUUUUAACUUUUUUUUUUAAAACCCUAUUUUUUAGUUUUUUAUUCACUCAACCGCACACCACACUCCCACCUCCAC